CAGUCGCCGCGGUAAUGCGAAGGGUGCAAGCGUUAAUCGGAAUUACUGGGCGUAAAGCGUGCGUAGGCGGUGAGUUAAGUCUGCUGUGAAAUCCCCGGGCUCAACCUGGGAAUGGCAGUGGAUACUGGCUCGCUAGAGUGUGUCAGAGGAUGGUGGAAUUCCCGGUGUAGCGGUGAAAUGCGUAGAGAUCGGGAGGAACAUCAGUGGCGGAGGCGGCCAUCUGGGACAACACUGACGCUGAGGCACGAAAGCGUGGGGAGCAAACAGGAUUAGAUACCCCGGUAGUCCCUGUCUCUUAUAC
rnacentral:rRNA from 1 species